rnacentral:lncRNA from 1 species
UGUUCUCCAUCCCUCUGUUCUCCAUAACUUGUCUCCAUCACUCUGUUCUCCUAAACUCUGUUCUCCAUACACUCUGUUCUCCAUCACUCUGUACUCCAUCACUCUGUUCUCCAUAACUCUGUCCUCCAUUAACUCUGUUUCUCCAUAAACUCUGGACUCCACACUCUGUUCUCCAUAACUCUGUUCUCCAUACUCUGUUCUCCAUAAUCUGUUCUCCAGAACUCUGUUCUCAUCACUCUUUCUCCAUCACUCUGUUCUCCAUAACUCUGUUCUCCAUCACUCUGUUCUCCAUAACCUCUGUUCUCCAAAAACCUUUUUUCCUGCUCUCCAUCCACUCGUACUCAUCACUCUGUUUCUCCAUAAACUCUGUUCUCCAUAACUCUGUUCUCCAUCACUCUGUUCUCCAUAACUCUGUUCUCCAUAACUCUGUUCUCCAUAACUCUGUUCUCCAUCACUCUGUUCUCCAUAACUCUGUUCUCCAUCACUCUGUUCUCCAUACCUCUUGUUCUCCAUCACUCUGUUCUCCUAACUCUGUUCUUCAUAACUCGUUCUCCAUAACUCUGUUCCAUAACUCGGUUCUCCAUCACUCUGUUCUCCAUAACUCGGUUCUCCAUAACUCUGUUCUCCAUAACUCUGUUAUCCAAACUCUGUUCUCAUCACUCUUUUCUCCUACUUG